GACGAACGCUGGCGGCGUGCUUAACACAUGCAAGUCGAACGGGCCCGCCCCUGUUUUUGGGGGUGGGUUGAGUGGCGAACGGGUGAGUAUCACGUGAGUAACCUGCCCCCUGCUCCUGGAUAACUGCUUGAAAGGGCGGCUAAUACGGGGUGUGCCGGCUGGUCCGCAUGGGCCUGGUCGGGAUAGUUUCAUCUUCGGGUGUUUCGGUGGGGGAUGGGCUCGCGGCCUAUCAGCUUGUUGGUGGGGUGAUGGCCCACCAAGGUGGUGACGGGUGGCCGGCGUGAGAGGGCGGGCGGACACACUGGGAGAGAGACACGGCCCAGACACGGGCGGGAGGCAGGAGUGGGGGGGAUUGCACAAUGGGCGGAAGCCUGAUGCAGCGACGUCGCGUGAGGGAUGGAGUCCGUCGGGUUGGGAACCUCUUUCUCCGGGGGUGAAGGCCCUGUCCGUUGCGGCGGGGUUGACGGUAGCCGGGGAUGAAGCGCCGGCUAACUACGUG
rnacentral:rRNA from 1 species